UCAGAUUGAACGCUGGCGGCAGGCCUAACACAUGCAAGUCGAGCGGUAACAUUUCUAAGCUUGCUUAGAAGAUGACGAGCGGCGGACGGGUGAGUAAUGCUUGGGGAUCUGCCUGAUGGCGGGGGACAACCACUGGAAACGGUGGCUAAUACCGCAUAAUACCUAUGGGUCAAAGUGUGGGACCUUCGGGCCACACGCCAUCAGAUGAACCCAAGUGAGAUUAGCUGGUUGGUAAGGUAACGGCUUACCAAGGCGACGAUCUCUAGCUGGUCUGAGAGGAUGAUCAGCCACACUGGGACUGAGACACGGCCCAGACUCCUACGGGAGGCAGCAGUGGGGAAUAUUGGACAAUGGGGGCAACCCUGAUCCAGCCAUGCCGCGUGUGUGAAGAAGGCCUUCGGGUUGUAAAGCACUUUCAGUGGUGAGGAAGGUGGUGUCGUUAAUAGCGGCAUCAAUUGACGUUAGCCACAGAAGAAGCACCGGCUAACUCCGUGCCAGCAGCCGCGGUAAUGCGGAGGGUGCGAGCGUUAAUCGGAAUUACUGGGCGUAAAGCGCACGUAGGCGGUCUGAUAAGCCGGUUGUGAAAGCCCCGGGCUCAACCUGGGAACGGCAUCCGGAACUGUCAGGCUAGAGUGCAGGAGAGGAAGGUAGAAUUCCCGGUGU
rnacentral:rRNA from 1 species